AAUGAAGUGCCUGAGCAAAGGAUUAUUUUGAUAGAAUAAAUCACGUAGAUUCACUUUACCUUCAUUA
rnacentral:tRNA from 1 species